UGAACAGAGAGAACGCUUCGGCGCCAUUUUGGAAUGGCCAAACUCUCGCGGGAUCCAAGAUGGCGGCCUAGACAUUGACCAGACAAGGCUUUUCGAAGCAUUACUGGAGGAAGGGGCUCCCCUGCUUGCCGGUCCAACUACAGCCCGGAACAAAGGGAAAGGAGGCAUAGCCGCAGGAUUAGGAGCAGACAUCACUCCAGGCACCGCUCUGAAUCAUUUGGCCGCACAGGCUUCGCAGUGGGAUCACAGGAGCAUCAGUACAGUGAGUACAACGGCCCAGAGACAGGAGUCACAACGGGGGGGGGCAGAGACCGCCAUUCAGCAUGCCACGCAGAAGGGGAGCAGCAAGGGAAAGCCCACCCCCACGCCACUGAAGGGCUAGUGCCAGCAUCCCCCAUAGUACCGGCAGUAUGCACUGUACACAUGUCUGCUCCCAGACACAUAGCCACCCCAGAAGCCCCAGACCAAACAUCCCGACUGUAUCCCUCAGGCGGCAUAGGGUCCCCAGCAGCCAUAGCAGAGCCAGGCUCCCCGGGGGCAGGAGCAGGUCACCAGAGGGAAUUAGGCAGGAUAGGGUUAACGGCCCCCAGUAUGCUUGUUUAAUUGCAGGUUCAGCCAGCAACAGAGAAUUGAGACACAAGGACAAUAUUUGUACUGCAGCAAAGGCUUGGCAUCUGAUGGAGCACUCUCACAAGGGGAUCAAGGAUGGCAGACUGAGAGAACAAACGAGAAGUAUCUCUACAAAUGCUAAGCCUGAAUUUGAAUGAAACUACACAUGAAGCUUAACCAUGAGCUCCCCAGGAUAUGUCUUCUGCAAAUGGAAUAGUCAAUUCUGGCCAGCAAAAGCUGCCAUUAAACAAGUGGGGGGUCCUGCUCAGGAUACCUUCUAAUCAGGAUACCUGCUCAAAAGGUUUUAUCCAAACCCAACAAGCAAACCAAAAACAGCAAGAUGUAUGUAGAGAUACUCUGCGUGGAUGAAUUGAUACAUGUGCAGUACAAGGACACAAAACCCAUGGUGUAGAAGUAGAGAAUAUUGCUGCAGAAUUAGG